rnacentral:misc_RNA from 1 species
GAUGAAGAACGCAGCGAAAUGCGAUAAGUAAUGUGAAUUGCAGAAUUCAGUGAAUCAUCGAAUCUUUGAACGCACAUUGCACCCCUUGGUAUUCCGAGGGGCAUGCCUGUUCGAGCGUCAUUAUCACCCCUCAAGCUUUGCUUGGUGUUGGGGCCUGCUGUAAUAGGCAGCCCUUAAAAUCAGUGGCGGUGCUUCAAGGCUCUAAGCGUAGUAAUUCUCCUCGCUAUAGUGUCUAGUGGUUGCCAGCCAGAACCCCCCAAUUUUCAUGAUUGACCUCGGAUCAGGUAGGGAUACCCGCUGAACUUAAGCAUAUCAAUAAGCGGAGGA